AGGUCGCAGCUUACCUUCGGCAUCCAUAGACCUGUCAAUUAGCCCUCUCCCUGUAUUCUGAUUCAUUUCCAGCAGCAGACGUGCCAAAGACUGGCAGGAACUCAGGGAAAUAUAUCCUGAGCACAGGUGGUAUGUUGAAUAUGCCUUGGUGCUUUAUUUGAACUAACCAACUGAUACAUUUAAACAAUAUAGGCAUGAGACGGAGGGGGAAACUAGGAGACAGAACUGGCGAUAAAUUUGAGGUAAUUAUCUAAAAUUGUUGCUUUACGAUUUGUUUUCUUUGUCCCUAUGCUGUC
rnacentral:lncRNA from 10 species